rnacentral:rRNA from 1 species
UACGUAGGGGGCAAGCGUUACUCGGAUUCACUGGGCGUAAAGCGCGUGUAGGCGGCUGGUCAAGCGUGGUGUGAAAUCUCCGGGCUCAACCCGGAAACUGCACCGCGAACUGGCCUGGCUGGAGUGCAGGAGAGGGAAGGGGAAUUCCCGGUGUAGCGGUGAAAUGCGUAGAUAUCGGGAGGAACGCCCGUGGCGAAAGCGAGGCCCUGGACGUCUGCUGACGCUGAGACGCGAAAGCUAGGGGAGCGAACGGG